UUGGAGUUGUUUUUGUUCGUCUUUUGGUUUUUUCACUCUACAUUCAUAAUGGCUUUACAACCUUGUCAACAAAUAUCUUUAGAUAGCCCAGCAGAACAGGGUUUUCUGUCGUUCUAUCGCUCGCUUCCCGAGAAACUUGAAACAACAUUUCGCGUUUUUGACAGAUCGGUAAGAAUUUUUUUAAACUCAAGUUUAUGUAAACACAUUUUGAUUUGACUCGAC